AUAGGAGAUAGAAAUUUUUUUAGGAGCGAUAGAAAACAGUACCGUAAGGGAAUGAUGAAAGAAUAAAUUUACAGCAAAAAAAAGCAUAGAUUAAACCUACUACCUCUUGCAUAAUGAAUCAACUAGAAGUACUUUUACAAAAAGAAUUAAAGCUAAAUACCCCGAAACCAAACGAGCUACCAUUCAACAGCUAAACUGAGCAAACCCGUCUAUGUAGCAAAAUAGUGGGAAGAUUUAAUGGUAGAGGUGAAAGACCUAUCGAGUUUGGUGAUAGCUGGUUGUCCAAAAAAGAAUAUUAGUUCAACUUUAAGUCCAUUCUUUAAUAUAAUUUAUCACAAAGACUUAAAUGUUAGUUUAUAGAGGGACAGCUCUAUAGAUAAGGAAUAAACUUUUAACAGAGGGUAAACAAAUUUACAUACCGUAGUUGGCCUAAAAGCAGCCAUCGAUUAAGAAAGCAUUCAAGCUCAACAAAAACUCACUCAUAAAUUCCUACAAUAAUCUAUGAACCCCUGAAUGUAAUAUUGGACUAAUCUAUUAAUAUUAUUAUAGAAGAAAUUAUGUUGAUAUUAGUAACAAGAAAUAUUUCUCCUUGCACAAGUUUAUAUCUAACCAACUACCCACUGAUAGUUAACAACACUAUGAGUUAAAAUAACCCUAUUAAUAAUUUCAUUAUGAUUAUUGUUAAUCCAACACAGGAGUGCUCAAAGGAAAGACUAAAAAAGAUAAAAGGAACUCGGCAAACAUAAAUCCCGCCUGUUUACCAAAAACAUCACCUCUAGCAUGAUAAGUAUUAGAGGCACUGCCUGCCCAGUGAUAUUAUUUAACUGCCGCAGUAUCUUGAUCAUGCAAAGGUAGCAUAAUCACUUGUUCUUUAAAUAAGGACUUGUAUGAAUGGCUAGACGAGGAUUUGUCUGUCUCUUAUCUUCAGUCGGUGAAAUUGAUGGUCCCGUGAAGAGGCGGGAAUAUUAAAAUAAGACGAGAAGACCCUAUGGAGCUUUAACUAACUAAUUCACUUAUUUACAUUAAUUUCACUACUAACAUGUUGAAUUAUAAGUUUCGGUUGGGGUGACCUCGGAGAAAAGCAAAACCUCCCAAUGAUAUUAACUUAGACAUAACAAGUCAAAGUACAAAUCAUGAAUUGACCCAAUAAAUAUUGAUCAACGGAGCAAGUUACCCUAGGGAUAACAGCCCAAUCCUAUUCUAGAGUCCACAUCGACAAUAGGGUUUAUGACCUCGAUGUUGGAUCAGGACAUCCUAAUGGUGUAGCCGCUGUUAAAGGUUCGUUUGUUCGACGAUCAAAGUCCUACGUGAUCUGAGUUCAGACCGGAGUAAUCCAGGUCGGUUUCUAUCUAUUUUUACCUUUCUCCCAGUA
rnacentral:rRNA from 1 species